AGUGUUCUACAGCAGUUACACACAGGCAGUGGUAUCUGUGAGCAGCUCUGUGGACUCAAAGGUUUUCUCCCUGAGAGGCAUGACCCAGGCCAGCUGAUUCAUCAGAAUCAGGAUGGACGUGGUAGAGGUCGCGGGUAGUUGGUGGGCACAAGAGCGAGAGGACAUCAUUAUGAAAUACGAAAAGGGACACCGAGCUGGGCUGCCAGAGGACAAGGGGCCUAAGCCUUUUGGAAGCUACAACAACAACAUCGAUCACUUUGGGAUGCAGCAUGAGACGGAGCUGCCUCCUCUGACUGCGCGGGAGGUGAAGCAAAUUCGGCGGGAGAUCAGCCGAAAGAGCAAGUGGGUGAAAAUGCUGGGAGAAUGGGACACCUACAAAAACAGCAGAAAGCUCAUAGAUCGAGCGUACCAGGGAAUUCCCAUGAACAUCCGGGGCCCGAUGUGGUCAGUCCUCCUGAACAUUGAGGAAAUCAAGUUGAAAAACCCCGGAAGAUACCAGAUCAUGAAGGAGAAGGGCAAGAGGUCAUCUGAACACAUCCAGCAGAUGGACCUGGACGCAGCGGGAACUACUUUACAUCCUCCUGGCGUAUGAGGAGUAUAACCCGGAGGUGGGCUACUGCAGGGACCUGAGCCACAUCGCCGCCUUGUUCCUCCUUUAUCUUCCUGAGGAGGAUGCAUUCUGGGCACUGGUGCAGCUGCUGGCCAGUGAGAGGCACUCCCUGCAGGGAUUUCACAGCCCAAAUGGCGGGACCGUCCAGGGGCUCCAAGACCAACAGGAGCAUGUGGUAGCCACGUCACUACCCAAGACCAUGUGGCAUUAGGACAAGAAAGAUCUAUGUGGGCAGUGUUCGUCCUUAGGCUGCCUCAUCCGGAUAUUGAUUGAUGGGAUCUCUCUCGGGCUCACCCUGCGCCUCUGGGACGUGUAUCUGGUAGAAGGCGAACAGGCGUUCAUGCCGAUAACAAAAUCGCCUUUAAGGUUCAGCAGAAGCGCCUCACGAAGACGUCCAGGUGUGGCCCGUGGGCACGUUUUUGGAACCGGUUCGUUGAUGCCUGGGCCAGGGAUGAUGACACUGUGCUCAAGCAUCUUAGGGCCUCUAUGAAGAAACUAACAAGAAAGCAGGGGGACCUGCCACCCCCAGCCAAACCCGAGCAAGGGUCGUCGGCAUCCAGGCCUGUGCCGGCUUCACGGGGCGGGAAGACCCUCUGCAAGGGGGACAGGCAGGCCCCUCCAGGCCCACCAGCCCGGUUCCCAUGGCCCAUUUGGUCAGCUUCCCCGCCACGGGCACCUCGUUCUUCCACACCCUGUCCUGGUGGGGCUGUCCGGGAAGACACCUACCCUGUGGGCACUCAGGGUGUGCCCAGCCCGGCCCUGGCUCAGGGAGGACCUCAGGGUUCCUGGAGAUUCCUGCAGUGGAACUCCAUGCCCCGCCUCCCAACGGACCUGGACGUAGGGGACCCUUGGUUCCGCCGUUAUGAUUUCAGACAGAGCUGCUGGGUCCGUGCCAUAUCCCAG
ensembl:lncRNA TBC1D3P2 TBC1 domain family member 3 pseudogene 2